GAAGAAGAGGAGAGAGAGAGAGAGGAAGGAUGAAAGAUGAAAGGAAAGAAAAGAAAGAAAAUUAAGAAGAAACAAACAGAAACAGAAAGAGGAAGGAGCGGAGAAAAGGGACAAAUGAAGAUAAUAAUGGUUAAUUAUACAAAAAUAAUAAUAAUUAGUUAAAAAGGAGAGGAAAAUAUCUGAAAGACAGGUUGGAAGGAAGAAGUGGAAGGGAAAAAUAGAAGGCCGAAAUGGAAAUGAAAGUGCAGUGCAGAGCCCGGCGCCUCCCAAUUAUGCUGCAAAUGAAAAGCGGGCUGGCCACGGAAACUUAUUAAAUACACAAAAAAUAUGGGCGAAGAAGCCGAC
rnacentral:misc_RNA from 1 species